GGAUAAGCACAUCAAUACCUAAGACACCACUUGUUACACGAUGAACUAUAUUUUGGACAAAAGGUAGAGAAAGAAAUAUGUGAAUGAUAUGAGGAGAACUGAAGCAUGGUCCUGACCCUGAUUUGUACAUAUGAACAUAUCGACCUUUUGUGGGUUAUUUCAGUUAUCAGUGAGAUGUUUGUAAUAAAGUGUGAAGUUAUGUUUUGAAAAUAAAUUGGGUUAUUUAAUACUUAUGUAUAAUAUGUUUGAGACCCACUUUAUGUUUAAUGUAAAUAAUGUGAAAUAA